rnacentral:rRNA from 1 species
UACGUAGGGUGCGAGCGUUGUCCGGAAUUAUUGGGCGUAAAGAGCUCGUAGGCGGUGUGUCACGUCGGCCGUGAAAAACCUGCAGCUUAACUGUGGGCGUGCGGUCGAUACGGGCAUCACUGGAGUUCGGCAGGGGAGACUGGAAUUCCUGGUGUAGCGGUGAAAUGCGCAGAUAUCAGGAGGAACACCGGUGGCGAAGGCGGGGUCUCUGGGCCGAUACUGACGCUGAGGAGCGAAAGCGUGGGGGAGCAAACAGG